rnacentral:rRNA from 1 species
UAAACUAGGAUUAGAUACCCUAUUAUAUUUUAAUAAAUAAAGUAGUAAUAAAAUAAUAAAACUAAUUUAUUUUUGGCGGCAUUUUAUCUUCUUAGAGGAAUUUGUCUAUUAAUCGAUAAUCCACGUUAAUUUUCACUUAAAUUCAUAAUUUAUAUACCGCCAUUUUAAGAAACAAUUAAAAAUUCUCUCCCAAUAAUUAAUAAAAAAUUAGGUCAAGGUGUAAUCCAUAUUUAAGAUUAGAUGAAUUACAUUAAAUAAUAUUUCAAGCUUAUUCAUUCAUAUAUAAAUACAAAUAAGAAUUUAAAAGUAAUAUAAUAAUAAUAA